rnacentral:rRNA from 1 species
GACGAACGCUGGCGGCGUGCUUAACACAUGCCAGUCGAACGGAAAGGCCCUGCUUUUGUGGGGUGCUCGAGUGGCGAACGGGUGAGUGACACGUGAGUAACCUGCCCUUGACUUUGGGAUAACUUCAGGAAACUGGGGCUAAUACCGGAUAGGAGCUCCUGCUGCAUGGUGGGGGUUGGAAAGUUUCGGCGGUUGGGGAUGGACUCGCGGCUUAUCAGCUUGUUGGUGGGGUAGUGGCUUACCAAGGCUUUGACGGGUAGCCGGCCUGAGAGGGUGACCGGCCACAUUGGGACUGAGAUACGGCCCAGACUCCUACGGGAGGCAGCAGUGGGGAAUAUUGCACAAUGGGCGGAAGCCUGAUGCAGCAACGCCGCGUGCGGGAUGACGGCCUUCGGGUUGUAAACCGCUUUCGCCUGUGACGAAGCGUGAGUGACGGUAAUGGGUAAAGAAGCACCGGCUAACUACGU